GUCCUUUAGAGUAGAAUUUAAGGUCUAACCUGCCCAUUGAGGAAUUAAAAGGCCGCAGUAUUUUGACUGUGCGAAGGUAGCAUAAUCAUUAGUUUUUUAAUUGAAAGCUUGUAUGAAUGGUUGGACGAGAUAUAAUCUGUCUUUAAAUUAUAAGUAGAAUUUGUUUUUUAAGUUAAAAAUCUUAAAUAAAAUUAAUAGACGAGAAGACCCUAUAGAUCUUUAUAUACGUUUAUUUAUUUACUUUUUGGAUAAUUAAUUUUUGUAAAUAAAUAUAUAUUUAAUUGGGGUAAUUAAAAGAUUUAAUAAAUUCUUUUUUUUAAUAACUUUGAUUGAAGGUUUAUAAGAUCCAAUAUUAUUGAUUAUAAGAUUAAGUUACCUUAGGGAUAACAGCGUAAUUUUUUUAAAGAGUUCUUAUCGAUAAAAAAGUUUGCGACCUCGAUGUUGGAUUAAAAUUAAUUUUAGGUGAAGAAGUUUAAAGUUUUAGUCUGUUCGACUAUUAAAAUUUU
rnacentral:rRNA from 1 species